UGCUGAUAAGUACCAUCUGACUGUGGCUUUUCCCCCUUGUUUCCCUCAGUUCUUUCCACUCCUCCACCUACUCUCUGCACUCCAGAGAUGAGAAGACUCUGCUCAGAGGUGUCAAGCGACGUGGAAGAAUCACCUAGUUAAUAGGAGACAAAUUUGGAAUUUGCAGCAACACAGAACAGAUGCUGCCCCAGAUGUGGAAGAUGCAGAUGUUUGCCAGUUUCAGAAUAACUCCAAAUUCAUAACUAUAUAUGGCAUUCUACAGAUUCCUCAGUUUGAUUUUGAGGAGAAAAGUUGUCCCCCCACCCCACAAAACGUUGUUUAAAUAUUUUUUCCUGCUUUAUAUGUGACUUGGUGGUCACAUUUAAUUGAGAAUUGAAAACAAGUUCCAUUUUUAGUUACCACAGAAAGAUACUAAAAAUUGCUAUAAUUAAUAUGCAAAUAUACAAAUCAGUGCUCUGUAUUUUGAGUUUUCAAAAAAUCAAUUUACUAAACAUUCAGGCACUGAACAUUUACUAAGCACUAUGUGUCUGGUAGUGAGUGAGGUACUGACAGGAUGUAAAAAGAUAAACACACAAGUCAUUGUCAUAGAUUCAAAGAAAUGUAUCAUCUAAAGACGUCCUAGCAGUUAUAACUUAGAUGUAUAUAGAGACAUAUAUUUAUUCAGGUAUAUGCAUAUAAAUAUGUAUGUGCAUAUAUUUCUUUACAAAGAUAUUAUACUAAAGGAAGCAGAGAAUAAUAUUAAAGCAAAAUAAAAGUUGACCAGUAGAAAAGAGAUCAAAUAACAGGUACAACAUCUGUUGUCAUAUAAAAAUAUAAAUAAUUAGACUUCUGAUGUCAGAGCAAACGCCACACCACUGGACCUAAUUAAAAGGGGGGAGAAUCUGGCUAUAUUCAAACUAUUAUAAACAGUUAGUUAAGCAGGCACAAAUAGUUCAAAUAUUUGAGUGCCUGUGAUGGACAAUAUGGAAUAUACAGAAAGCAUAUUAUGAACCCUCUCCUCAUCUUGUCUAUAAAUAAGCAGGGGUAAGGUAGGUACAUAAAGACAUAUAAUACUGUACAGAAAAUAGCUCAUUGGAGAAGUUAAAGAAAAUGCUAAAAGUGCCAGGAGAAAUUCUUCCAAUUUAAAGAAUCAAAGAGUGUAAUGGAUGUGUUAGAAUUUGAGUUUAGAUUUAAUAGGAUGGGAGGGUUUCAAAAGAGUGGUUGCUUCAAUAUUUCCAUGUGGGACAGACUUAGCGGCAACAUGUGAUUGUCAGGAGCUUCAAUGAUAGAGCCUUGUCUUGAAGUUAUAUUUUCAGUACCAGUUCCCUAUUUCCACUUGGGUUAGAAAGUGUGGGUUAUAUUUGAGGUGGCUAACUAACUGGCCAGCAGACAUGGAUAAGGAAGUGGUUAAGACUCACCCAACUCUGUACUAUUUCUGCACAAAAAAUUAGCAAAGGUGUAAGAUUUCAGGUUACAUUCAGAAAAUAUGGAUUAAUUUUUCCUGGUAAGAACUUGAAGUAUAUGUAUAAAAGAACAGUACAAGAUACACAUUAAAAAAUAGAAUAGAGAAAGAGAAUAUGAGGACUAGAGAAAAGUUGGAUCAAUAAAGCAGAUUAGGAAUUUCAGGCUUUGCUCUCUAGCCAGUAGAAAGCAUUUUUUUCUUCCUCUAAUUGUUUUGUUUUCCAAGCAAUAAGACAGAAUGAUCAGACGGUUAAUAUAGAAGUGACUUGAUGGAUAGACUGGAAAAGGGAAAAACUAAAGGUAGGGAGAUCAUUUAGGGGCCUAUUCAAUAGUCUAGGUUAAGGUGAAAAGAUGAAUUUAUAGAUAAGGUAGAAAGAAGAAAAUGAAUUCAAGAUGAAUUCAUCACAGUUUAAACACUAAGUUAGUAAUUUAGUUAGUUAGAACACUUUCAUGGUGAAAGGUUGUAUAAUUAAAGGAUAACUAAAAUUUCAAGCUUGGAUAACUAUGGGAAUGUUAUCCCUAGUUAGCAGUGACAGAACUGUGAAAAUCUAUCUGUGUUUUGCUUUAGAAUUUAACAGUGGGAGAGAUGAAAAAAAACUCUUCUUUGGACUUUUAAGGUUGGAAGUUGAUAUCUUUUACAAUAGACUAUCCAACAGGCAACAGAAAACUGGAACUGUAGUUUUACAAAUAAUUGCUGCUAUAGAAUGAAUGAGAGAGACUUAAGACAAUGUAGAAAGAAAAUAAAGAAUGGGAAGAUCAAUUAGGUAUGUUGUAUGUAGGGAGGAAAGAGAAAUCGGAGGAGAAAAUGAAGAAUCAGAAUUGUGAGAGCAACAAUAGAUUAGUUCAUUUUUGCAGUAGUUUAUGUAAGAGGAAUAUUCAAGAAGAAAUGGUAAAAGAGUCAAACAGUCUAAAUAAGUCAAGUUCAAUAAUUGAGAAAAAUUCAUUGUAU